CUAUGGACCCCGCCGAGUCAUCGUCACGAAGAGCGGAACGAGGUAGCGCCAGGGCCGAUUAAUCGCGCGCGGGGAAUCUCCCCGCUCGCGCACGUGCGCCGGAACCGACGCCAGCCAGUGCCGCCUGCCGUCCGACGUCUCUCCAGCCUCGUCCCUUUCCUCCGUGUAUCAACCACCGGAAGGGAGUCGAUUUAUUCCAGUGUGUGCAAGGAGGAGGGCUUUUGUUGAGGGCUUCGGUGGUUCCUGACGGAGGAGGAGAAGCUCUGGGUGCAAGGAGAGAAGAAAGUAUAGGCAUCGUUCGAAUCAGAUCGCGUGACGGAGACGGAUUUCUUGGGAAUUCACGAGAGGGAUUUGGACCCGCAGACGUCGGAGGAGGACACCGGUGGGAGCCGCCAAGAUUCAGGGAUUAGGUUGCUAAAAUUAUUGGACUAUCUGAGAUAAAAGGUUGGUCUUAUAUUUUCUUGAAGCAAAUCUUGUGAGCUGUGGAUCUGGCAACUGUUACGAAGACCGAGUACGGAAAAUACGACGCUUUUAUGGUGGUGUGGCAUUUUAUUCCUUUUUUCUAAAGAUUGAAACGCUAUGUAAGGAGCUUCAACAGUGCAAUGGCCUUUCUUGAACAAGAUGUCUACCAUGCAGCCAUUCAUGUUCUACAAGGAUGCACAAGAGGAGAAGUCAAGAAACUAUGUCUCUGAUGAACACUCAUCUUCGAGAUUCCAACCUGUAUCAGCCAUUGAUGCCUUUGAGGCCAAUCAGAAAUGCUUCAGUUUCAACAUAUGGCGAAGGAUGAACCAAUAUCCAUUCCAUGCAUAUCAGCCUCAGAACACUGGUUUUGUUGAUUCUUCACAGCACAAGUUAAAUCACUCUAGUCCUGUCAACAUGAGCAGUCCUUCGUUCAAGACUGUGGGUGCUCUAAAUGGCCCUAAUAUAGCAGUCACCUCUGCCAAGCAGCAGCCUUUUGGAUGUGGCACCACCAUUAACACCCCCUGUUGGUGGCCCUGUGCUUGGAGCUUUUAAUCCAAGGGAAAAAUUAUCGGUGAUUACAAAUAUGACUGCUCAGCUAACUAUUUUCUGUGGGAACUGCAUAAAUGUGUAUGAUGACAUUCCAUUGGAUAUGAAUAAUGAGGAUUUUAAUCCUGUACAUCAAGCUCAUAAGGCAUCACUAUCACGAUUCCUGGAAAAGCGCAAGGAGAGGAUGACCAAUACGAUUCCAUAUGCUUGUUCCAAGAAAAUUCCUGAAAACAGUAGUAGAUUCUGAAGUUGCUAUGUGUCAAGCAAAAUUUCAUUGGCUGAUAUCAAUCUUUCGAGGAGAGGACUUAUGGUUUGUGGCACACCAAAAGAGCAGCAUGGACAGUGGGGAGUCCCUAAGUAUUAAGCUAGCAUAAUGAGUUUGCAUUUGAAUCAGGCCUGUAAUGUAUGAUUAAAUUAUUUGUUCAUUUCAGUGAUAAAAUUUCAGAUGACAGAUAUCAUAAUGUACUCUGUGGUAGAGAGUCUUAUAGGGAUCUCUGAUUACUUGUCCCAAUAUGAUUCAAGUGCUAUAUCAUAGAGAAAAAGAUGGUUAUAUCAGGAAUUA